rnacentral:lncRNA from 1 species
ACUUAACAGAAAGAGGGAGCCUCUGCUUAGACCUCUAGAAUGGAGUCUCAGACCCCAUCCUUCCUCAACAAUCCCAAGUUGUGUGGCCCUCUUAGAGAACUCUGUAAGGGACAAAAACAAUAUGUAAAAAACCAGGUAGUAAAGAGAGGGUCUUCAGCCAACGGGCUUUGUAUUUAGCCUCUGUACUGCAUAAAAGGCAGGGAGAAUGGAACACCUUUUCACCCUGGGGAGAAGGUGGAGGCUGAGGUCAGCCUGAGGUGGAACAUGGGAGUCUGGGAAGUAUGCCUCUUAGACACUCGUCCCCAUUCUCCUUGUGGUUUUCAUCUUACAUGGCCACCGCUUGCACGUCUCUGUCCUUGCUGUCCCUAAGCAAUCCUACUGUAAGAAAAACAGAGAUGCCUUCUGGUCAUCUCAGGCAGGGCAGCUUGGAACAGGAAGGCAGGCACCCUACCCAGAGGUCAGACCAACACCCCAGCAAUGGUGUGAAUGAUUCCUCUGUCUAGGAAAAACAUGGGGGGAAAGUGGGUGAGCUAGGGCAGAGGGUUUGGAAUAGUGAAGAACAAGGCACCGCCAUCUCCAGCAGAAAGGGCACAGUUAGUGCCACGCCUCAGUCAAGGCACACCUGUGAAGUGGCUACUCCAUUUCUUGAGGAACCCGGCACGAUCCAUGUGGAAAAGUGAGGAGUCCGGAGAGGCUGAGUGGAGGAACUCAAGGACAAGAAAGCACUUCUCCAGUGAAGAAGAGGCAGGGGCUGCAGGCUGGCAGAUGUAAAAUUCCCCAAUGUCUGUAGAAUUUUGGUAAUGUCCCCCACCGAAGUGAGGGAUAGGGGAUUAUGAUAUUCAGAUGUUGGGACAAGCCAGGAAUCUUUAACAAUUGUUUCUCCCACCCUGACCCCCCCCCCCCACACACACACACACACACCUCCAAGGGCAGGAGCUGAAGUACUUCCAACAAGACCCACCCCAGGUAACCAGCCGAAGUGAGUCAGUUAGGAGGGGUGUCCUCGGCCCUGGGCAAACAAUGGCAGAACCCUCUACCCCUCCCCUGUGCCCUCCACACCCAAGCCUCGGUAAUUAAAAUAUGAAUUCACCUUGAUUUAUUCUGGAACACACCGCUGCUACCGCACCACCAGCGUAGCUGGCCUGAAUUCUCAUUUCGGUCUCGAAAGAGCCCCGGUGGACCAGAGCAAGUAGGAUCUGGAGCUGCACAGAGGGAGGAGGAAGACCAAGACCAAGAAGCAGAUUAUGGCUGGACAGAAGAGAGGUCCAAGACACCGUGGCUGAUACCAGCCCUACAUCU